rnacentral:rRNA from 1 species
UACGUAGGAUGCAAGCGUUGUCCGGAAUUAUUGGGCGUAAAGAGCGCGCAGGCGGUCUAUCAAGUCAGAUGUGAAGUAUCCCGGCUUAACCGGGAGGGGUCAUUUGAAACUGGUAGACUAGAGUACAGCAGAGGAUAGCGGAAUUCCCGGUGUAGUGGUGAAAUGCGUAGAUAUCGGGAGGAACACCAGUGGCGAAGGCGGAUCUCUGGGCCUUACCUGACGCUGAGGCGCGAAAGCUAGGGGAGCGAACAGG